AAUGAUGAUCAAAUGAAGGAGAGGCAACGUUGGCAACCAGAAGAAGACGCAAUCUUGAAAGCAUACGUGAAGCAAUAUGGCCCCAAAGAAUGGAACCUCAUCUCACAACGCAUGGGCAAAACUCUCAACCGUGACCCCAAAUCUUGCCUCGAGCGCUGGAAAAACUACCUCAAACCGGGCAUCAAAAAGGGUUCUUUAUCCCCAGAGGAGCAAUCUCUAGUCAUUUCGUUGCAGGCCAAAUACGGCAACAAGUGGAAGAAGAUCGCGAGUGAAGUCCCCGGGAGAACGGCCAAGAGAUUGGGAAAGUGGUGGGAGG
rnacentral:lncRNA from 1 species